GCGCUAAUAGCUCAGUUGGGAGAGCGUCAGACUGAAGCGAUUCGGUCCUAUCCAAUAUCCGGGGUAAUCUGAAGGUCACCCGUUCAAUCCGGGUUUGGCGCA
rnacentral:tRNA from 1 species